GCUGAGGUGGGAGGUAGCACAGAGGAACUGCUCGCAAAGUCUGGGUAUACUUUGAGAAGUCACAGGCAAGUUUAUUUUCAUAGGUUGGAGAGAACACUGCCAUCUAAGAAUGUCGGCAGAGAGUUCUGCUCCAGCUCUGCAGGAGGACAUGGGAUGGGGCACCAAAGGGUGCACGCAUUCUGUCCUUGGUGGGUCUCCAAACCUUGCUGGGGAGACCAGUUGAUCCACAGGAACCAUCUGAGAACAACACAAGUCAGCUUGUGGCUACAUGUGCUGUGAUCGCCACGGAGGCAGCAGUCCUGUCCACCUGUCGAGUUCAUCGUUGUUGCCCAGACAAGCAUGCUGCCUAGAGCCUAGCAGGCACUCAAUACGUACUUGUUGAAUGCGUGACGUUUGAGGAAAACCUCAUUUAGAAAAUGUAUCUGUUAGCCAAUUGAAUCCGAGUUCUCCUUUUAUAAUCCAGGAAGAAAAUCUACAGAUUCCAUAAAUGUGGCACAGGGCGGAAUGUCUCUGAGGAAGAAGUAUUUUCAUUGAAACAUACAACCACAAUCAAGAAAGGAAAGCAGAGCAACUUACAUAAGCAUGCCGGUCAAGUCUGCAUGUUAAAAAAAUGGAAUGAAAAGAAGUAAAAAUUGAUUAGCAAUUGCAAUGGGACCUUGUAUAAGCAUGACUGGCUAUUAUACAUAGUAUGUUUAAGCCAUUUCUGCAUUGGAUCCUGUCCAAGGUGGUUUAUUAGUGGAGGAAGCGGGAGAAUCUUGUUCUGCACACAGCUUUACCUAAAACGUGAUCCACACACAGGGAUCCAGAGGACGGUCGCACAGGGAGGGCCCACAGUGGCUUUAAGUAGGAAAGUGAAUUUCUCAUUUCAUCCUCUCUUGAAGUUCUUGUUUAGAAUGAGUGAAUGGCUUGGAUCAUUCUCCUUUUGAAAACAAAUUGCUUAAAAUAACAUGCCAGUGUUAUUACGGGAGAGAGUCGUAUUUUAAAAAGUAAAUAUAUGCGAGUACAGAGUUGAUCAGCUUUUUAGUCUAAUUUAAUCUGAUUAAUAUGUAACUUUAAUUAUGGAAAUUAGAGGCUACAAAUAAGAAAUAUCCUCAGCUUUCCUUGAAGGAAUAAAAGUGAGCUCUCUUCACUUCUGUAGAAUUUCGUUUGGGAAAGGACGGGAUGUCAUGGAGACAGUGAUUUCCUAAUGCUGCCCCAGCACAAUCCGUAUCUUGAUAGCUGCAUUUUAUGCAGCCGCACUAGCAGAACCAGAGUGCCAACACGUGUUAGAAAUUGCUUCUCCCCACUUCCUCACCUUCACCUUCCACUGGACAUGAAUAAUAAGGCUGGUGGUCAGAGUUAUAGAGCAUUUUCACAUGCCGGCCGAUGCUCUUCUCCCCAGUGGGAAGAACGGGCCACAAAGGAAGCAGUACCUUUCUCUGAAGGGACUAUGGCCUUUUCUAAAUAAGAUCAGAGUUGGUGAACUCAAGAGGUUUCCAUCCUUGGCAGCUCAUGACAAGAGCCUCGAGUGAUUACUGACGUCAUAAAUAAGAGUGUCAAUUGUUAAAUCAACAACGGGAGUCACUGUGCACCCCCCCCCCCGCCAUGUAGGACCUCUGCCCUUAGUGUGUAGUACUCUAUACUUUGUGUGUCUGUUAAAAUCUUUACUUAAUAUAUACUAAGUUGAUCUUCUGUAUAUAAAGAUAAUUGAAAAUGAAUCGAUGAAG